rnacentral:tRNA from 1 species
GGUGGCUUAGUGGUAGAGCUCUUGCCUUGCAUGCAUGAGGCCCUGGGUUUGAUUCCUCAGUACCA